AUGGGGCCGGGCUGGUACAGAGCCCCGCUCCUGCGGAACGCCGCGCCGCCUCCAGCCCUCACGGCUCCGUGCGCCGAGAAGGCGGCGGGGCCGGGACCCCCUCCGCGCGGCCCGGGGGCUCCCCCCGCGGCGAGGCGGGCGGCGGGGAGGUGCCGUGCGGGUCGGUCAGCGCGUCCCCUCCCCGGUCCGAGCUCCGAGUCCCCGGCCGCCGCCGUCGGGAAGUCGGGCCGCGCCGCUGCGGCCGUGGCGACGGACGUGAUGCUCACCUGUGUUUGCUGUACCACACUGUCUUUCAAAACUGUGCCCCAAAGGGGAGGUGACCUUGGACAAGGCCCAGACCGACAUGAUGUGGACGUGGCCUUUGGAGUUCUCCUCCUGUGAACAUACUUCUGAGGCCAUUGGGUCUUUGCCUGUGGUUGGAGUCUUCGUUGUCCUCCUUCCAGACCUCCUUUUCUCCAUCAACAGGAAGCUCUACUUUGAAAAGAGAGGUGGGUUCUCAUGCCUGGAAUAAGAAGGGAGAAGAAAGCAUUACAAAGAGAAGUCUAGAGUUCAUCAUGGCCUGGGUGAGUAUCACAAUACUAAUCCACCUUUGAUGUACAGAAUCUUUUUCAGACUUUUUCAGAGUGCGGAGAGAAUAGAGAUAUUUACUUUGUCUCAGGUUGUUUGUGUGGAUAACAGCAGGGAUUUGGAUAGACCAUAGCAACUUCCAGAACUUGAUCAAAUGGAUAUACAAUUGCUGCCAGGCUCCCAAUAUCUUUGUUGUUUGGAGUACUCUCUUGAGAAAUGGAGGGCAACACUAGAAAAAAGUGCACUCACCACUCUCUCUGUUAUGGGAGUGUUUUGUUAAUUCAAUUAAGAACAAAAUGUGAAUAAUUUUGAGUAAUGGCACUGCCUUUCUGCUCCUGAAGGAUAUGCCUGCCCUGGUUUUCUUGCAGUGGCUAUUACAUGCUCUUUCAUGCAUUUGUUGUUGUCUGGAAACAUUAUGUCCAUGAGUCCUAGGGACAAAAUAACUGUGAGAGAGCCCAUUAGGGAAUUUGACUCUGUUAUAAAAAUAACAUUUUAAUUUUUCUUAGCUGUCAGAAGAUGCAUCCAUCCUGUUAAUGGUGGUAAAUGGGAAUUUGGUGAUUUCAUCGUAUAUUUGUUGGUGAAUUUGCAUGUUGUAAGUAUAGAGUCAUCAAAUCAAUCAGCCAAGAAGUGGCUUCAGAAGCCUUGCAAUUAAAAGGUCUGCUUCCUAGUGGUUCGCUCAUAAAGCUAAUUGUAGAAUUGCAAAGCUUGGAGCCCUUGGAGCUUUUUUGGUGCACAUUUUGCCUUGCAUUGUGAGUUUCACUUGACUAUUGCAAGGGGUAAGAUCUUGUCAUACCUGAUGAGUCUAUGUUUUUUGAACAAGCAAAUGUGAAGUCAGUGGUACUCACUGAUUUCUUGCUAAAUCUGUUAGUGAGCGAAGGUCACGCUGAUGAUACCAACAAAUUUAAAAAGCAAAUGGUGUUUGAAGUUCUGACUUUAAUGUUUCUAUGCAAAGAUCAUGGUGAGUAUUUUUGUUGUUUCGUUUUUUUAAACUAUGUUUUCUUCAUCAAGAUUAUAUUUAAGUCUUUUAUCCCUUCUCUUCUCCUCCCAUCAAGUAGUGUAAAAAUGUGGCUUUUAUUUCAGUUUUUGAGAUGGCACAUCUUGCAGGAAUAUGUAGGCGUUGACAUUCUAUAGAGCUGUCAUAGGCUAUCAUGUAAACAUGUAUUUGCAGUGCCUUUUAAAAUGUGAAUUAUUACUAAACAGGGUGGCUUUUUUUUUUUUUUUGGUGUUUUGUUCCUUACAAAUUUUGAAAGACAAAAAAUUGCUUCCCAGCUGACAUGCUCAAUGGCAGUUUUCAUUUCAGACUAAAUCUUGUGUGUCUGAGUAAUAAACCUUUGAAAACAUGGGUUUAUAAUGGAAAC
ensembl:lncRNA